UACGUAGGGGGCUAGCGUUGUUCGGAAUUACUGGGCGUAAAGAGCGCGUAGGCGGUUUAUUAAGUUGGAAGUGAAAUCCCAGGGCUUAACCCUGGAAUUGCUUUCAAAACUAAUAAACUAGAGAGCGAUAGAGGAUGGUGGAAUUCCUAGUGUAGAGGUGAAAUUCUUAGAUAUUAGGAGGAACACCGGUGGCGAAGGCGGCCAUCUGGGUCGUUUCUGACGCUAAGGCGCGAAAGCGUGGGGAGCAAACAGG
rnacentral:rRNA from 1 species